rfam:Bombyx mori DNA, contig: Bm_scaf103_contig36407, strain: p50T/Dazao, build 2, whole genome shotgun sequence.
UUAACUCAACUUUGUAUAGAGUUGGAACCUUUGCCUACGUCUGCCGCUAGGGGCGCUGUUCCAAUUCCAUACAAAUUUGAGUUA